rnacentral:rRNA from 1 species
AGCGAACGCUGGCGGCAGGCCUAAUACAUGCAAGUCGAACGGCUCUUCGGAGCAGUGGCGGACGGGUGAGUAACACGUGGGAACGUGCCCCUUGGUACGGAACAACUGAGGGAAACUUCAGCUAAUACCGUAUGUGCCCCCAUUCUUAGCGGGAUGGGUGGGAAAGAUUUAUCGCCAUUGGAGCGGCCCGCGUUGGAUUAGCUAGUUGGUGGGGUAAAGGCCCACCAAGGCUACGAUCCAUAGCUGGUCUGAGAGGAUGAUCAGCCACACUGGGACUGAGACACGGCCCAGACUCCUACGGGAGGCAGCAGUAGGGAAUCUUGCGCAAUGGGCGAAAGCCUGACGCAGCCAUGCCGCGUGAAUGAUGAAGGUCUUAGGAUUGUAAAAUUCUUUCACCGGGGAAGAUAAUGACGGUACCCGGAGAAGAAGCCCCGGCUAGCUUCGUGCCAGCCGCCGCGGUAA